CUAUAAGAUGGGUUCUGAUUUAAUUUUUUGUUUAUUAUAAGUAUGCAUACUAAGAUCCGUUUGGCUGCUCUGAUUUGGUAAUUUUGAUUUAUAUGGAAAUUACUACAACAAAAAUUACUUUUAACCAAAUUUCUUGUUGAUUAAUUCUUUUUAUUUUGCAAGUUUCAGGUAGUAAGCAUCCGGUGAAGGUGAAAGCAACUUAAUUUCCUUCUUGUACUUAUCAAAGCAAGGUAUAUUGGUGUAUUGGUAGUAGAAACUUUGGGUAUUUUAUAGAGACAAUUAUGGUGUAGGAGUUUGGCCUUGAUUACCCCAAGGGAAGAAUACACAUGGAAAUGAAUUAUAAGCUGGCAUUUAGGGCUGCAGAGGCUGCUUUUAAGUUAUUAUGGAGGUUGGAGCUCCUUUAAAUACUUACACCAUCCUGGUGUGCAGGGAAAUGAAAGCAGUGUAAAAACAAAAAACAAAAGGAAAAAAAAAAAAGUUCACAUUUAUAGGUGUGAAAGACUUCUGUGGUGGGAUUCGGAAGAUAAUCACCUCAUCUCGGGUUGAUUGGUGCUUGGUCACUUAUAAUCUUAAUUAUACGAAAGAUUAUUGGUU